rnacentral:rRNA from 1 species
ACGAGAAAGUCGGCUUCGGCCGAUGAGUACAGUGGCGCACGGGUGAGUAACGCGUGGGUAAUCUACCCCUCGGUCAGGAAUAACCCGCCGAAAGGCGGGCUAAUACCCGAUAAUACUGACGCUCUGCGGAGUGUCUUUCAAAGAAGGCCUCUGUUUACAAGCUUUCGCCGGAGGAUGAGCCCGCGUACCAUUAGCUAGUUGGCAGGGUAAUGGCCUACCAAGGCAACGAUGGUUAGCUGGUCUGAGAGGAUGGCCAGUCACACUGGAACUGAGACACGGUCCAGACUCCUACGGGAGGCAGCAGUGAGGAAUCUUGCGCAAUGGGGGAAACCCUGACGCAGCAACGCCGCGUGAGUGAGGAAGGCCUUCGGGUCGUAAAGCUCUGUCGGAUGGGAAGAAAUGGGUGGGGGCUAAUAUCGUCCAUCCUUGACGGUACCAUCAGAGGAAGCACCGGCUAACUCCGUGCCAGCAGCCGCGGUAAUACGGGGGGUGCAAGCGUUGUUCGGAAUCAUUGGGCGUAAAGCGCGCGCAGGCGGCUUGGUAAGUCAGAUGUGAAAUCCCUGGGCUUAACCCAGGAAGUGCAUUUGAUA